rnacentral:rRNA from 1 species
AGCAGCCGCGGUAAUUCCAGCUCCAAUAGCGUAUAUUAAAGUUGUUGCAGUUAAAAAGCUCGUAGUUGAAUUUCGGGGUCAGUGGGUCGGUCGUGCCACUGGUAUGUACUGGCCCUACUGGUUCCUCCUUCUUGAAGAACUGUAAUGCCAUUAAUUUGGUGUUGCAGGGAAACAGGACUGUUACUUUGAAAAAAUUAGAGUGUUUAAAGCAGGCAAUCGCUUGAAUACAUUAGCAUGGAAUAAUGAAAUAGGACGUUCGAUCCUAUUUUGUUGGUUUCUAGGAUUGACGUAAUGAUUAAUAGGGAUAGUUGGGGGCAUUAGUAUUCAAUUGUCAGAGGUGAAAUUCUUGGAUUUAUUGAAGACUAACUACUGCGAAAGCAUUUGCCAAGGAUGUUUUCAUUAAUCAAGAACGAAAGUUAGGGGAUCGAAGACGAUCAGAUACCGUCGUAGUCUUAACCAUAAACUAUGCCGACUAGGGAUCGGAUGAUGUAAUUUUUAAUGACUCAUUCGGCGCCUUACG